CCCUCGGGUGCAGUGGUAACAUGCGCCCCUGGCAUGGGUGAAGCGUGGGUUCAACUCUCGUCUGAGGGU